UCCCCCGUCGAGCUCCCCGUCAGGUUCUCCACGCUGCGGAGCCGUCGGUUCGGGAAGACAAAAGGCAUCGCCUUUCCUUUCGCGGCUGGCCGUUCCCGACGCUGCACGGGAAGGCUCCGGUUGCCGCCGCGCUUCGCUGUCGGACCUUGCGAGUGACGCCGCUGACCGCCAGCCUUGCGGCGUCGGUCGACCCCUUCUCCUGGAGCUAAGUCACCCUUUUCCCCUUUUAAUUAUUCCGUAAAUCUGAGUUCUCGAUUGGUUAUUUGAUUCGAUGUUUGGGUGCAGUUUAGUCACUGGAAAGGGCUUGUUAUUUGUUUUACUAUAUUAGUUCUUGCUCCUAUGGUUCUCAUACUUGGGGUCUACUGAUCCGGAAAUCACUCACUCAUUAGCUAAGCACUAGUACCAUUUCUCGAUGCUUGCUCUUUAUACUUGCUAGUGUGUGAAUGUAGGGAAAGCUUAGGAUUAUUCUUUUUAGUUUGUGAAAUUUGUUAUGCUACUCUGAUUGAUUUUAGAAUUUAUCUCAUAAGUAUGAUUUACAUUACACCAAAUGAAGGGAAAUGAGUAUUCUUGGCAUGAUGAAGUUUGUGACAGCCUAUAGCUAAGUGUGAAACUUGAUGAUGUUGGUAUACUUUUGGUUAAAGAUGUUCACGAUAAGUGAGAUAUACAUGUUCAGGAAUAUUAACUGUAAGCUUAAGUCAAAGCUGGUGAAAUAUGGUGAAUCUUUAUAGUAUCUUAUUUAAAUUGGUCUUAGAACUCAAGUUUCUAAUGCUUUAGCUAUAAUUGGUCUCAAGAUGUAGGUUUGAGAUAUUAAGCAUGUAUAAUAUUCUUGAUAAGCUAAGUAUAUGUGGUUAAAAGAAACUAAGAGGAGAAUAUGAUUCAUGUUUGAAGUAUUCAAGUAGAAUAAUUGUUGUGGUGAAAGAAACAGAGGAUACAGCUUUUGUGACAUGUUUUGACAGAGUUUAUUUAACUUCAGUUAACCAAGUAAACGACCUCAUUUUAUUACCAAAUUUUAGCUGAACAUAGUUUUGCUUGUCUUCUGCCCUGUCACCGAAAUUCAGCUUCAUCCGAGUUCAAAUAGAUUUAUAGUGAUUUUUCCAAUACAAUCUGCCCUGUUCAAGCUGGUUAGGGGAAAAACGAUUAUAAACUCUAAAUGGCUAGGAAUUUCCAGCUCAUAAUUCAUCCCUACAAAUUACACAUGUAUGAACUUAUUUUUUUUUGCCUCUGAUUUUGUUGAGUUUCGACUUCCGAGUCGGUCUGAAUGAUUUUUUUCAUAGUCGGUGCAUUUUUUGUAAAAUAUUGGGAUAUGAUAAAAUUUGAAAUGCUUAUGCUUUAACCUUAUUUUGGACAAGUGUAUGAAGAUAUGAUUCCUAAUGUGAAAUCUUGAUGGAGAAAUAGUUGUUUUCGACUAAUCUAAUGUCUUGUAGAAUAUAUGCAUUAAUAAAAGACAAGAAUUAUGAAAUUAAGUUAGAAAAUAAUGGUUAACAGUAUGAAUUUGAUACUUUAUAUACGAAAGUGAAAUAUAUAUUGAAGGGUAAUCCUAUCCCAGGAAAUAACAAGGGCAAGAAGAAGGAGCAUGAAUAAAGUGAUUCGUGUGUCAAGGGCGUUUUGGAUUUCGAGGAAAUAACAAGGGCAAGAAGAAGGAGCAUGAAUAAAGUGAUUCGUGUGUCAAGGGCGUUUUGGAUUUCGAGAUUAGGUGACCAUAUAAGCUCCUUUGCUUCACAGCUGCUCAAGUCGAGUCACUAGUCAACUCUUUUGCUUUUAAAUAAUUAUUCUGACAUAAUAGUUGUGGCAUGUAUAAGAAGUGUAAUGUAAUUAGAUCGUUUUAAUUUUUCAUAUACUUUUGUGGAACAAGUACUUUUUUUUACAAAUAGUUAUCCAGGUUGUGUCAUAUAUAUAUAGACGUUAUAUUGCA